AGCGAACGCUGGCGGCAGGCCUAACACAUGCAAGUCGAACGGAUCCUUCGGGAUUAGUGGCGGACGGGUGAGUAACACGUGGGAACGUGCCCUUUGGUUCGGAACAACUCAGGGAAACUUGAGCUAAUACCGGAUGUGCCCUUCGGGGGAAAGGUUUAUCGCCAUUGGAGCGGCCCGCGUCUGAUUAGCUAGUUGGUGAGGUAAAGGCUCACCAAGGCGACGAUCAGUAGCUGGUCUGAGAGGAUGAUCAGCCACAUUGGGACUGAGACCCGGCCCAAACUCCUACGGGAAGCAGCAGGGGGGAAUCUUGCGCAAUGGGCGUAGGCCUGACGCAGCCAUGCCGCGUGAAUGAUGAAGGUUUUAGGAUUGUAAAAUUCUUUCACCGGGGACGAUAAUGACGGUACCCGGAGAAGAAGCCCCGGCUAACUUCGUGCCAGCAGCCGCCGUAA
rnacentral:rRNA from 1 species